rnacentral:rRNA from 1 species
AUUGAACGCUGGCGGCAUGCUUUACACAUGCAAGUCGAACGGUAACAGGUUAAGCUGACGAGUGGCGAACGGGUGAGUAAUGCAUCUGAACGUGCCCGGUCGUUGGGGAUAACGCAGCGAAAGCUGCGCUAAUACCGCAUACGAUCUGAUGAUGAAAGCGGGGGACCGUAAGGCCUCGCGCGAUCGGAGCGGCCGAUGUCAGAUUAGGUAGUUGGUGGGGUAAAGGCUCACCAAGCCAACGAUCUGUAGCUGGUCUGAGAGGACGACCAGCCACACUGGGACUGAGACACGGCCCAGACUCCUACGGGAGGCAGAAGUGGGGAAUUUUGGACAAUGGGCGAAAGCCUGAUCCAGCAAUGCCGCGUGCAGGAAGAAGGCCUUCGGGUUGUAAACUGCUUUUGUACGGAGCGAAAAGGUCUCCUCUAAUACAGGGGGCUCAUGACGGUACCGUAAGAAUAAGCACCGGCUAACUACGUGCCAGCCGCCGCCGUAA